rnacentral:rRNA from 1 species
UGCAAGUCGAGCGGUAAGGCCCUUCGGGGUACACGAGCGGCGAACGGGUGAGUAACACGUGGGUGAUCUGCCUUGCACUUCGGGAUAAGCCUGGGAAACUGGGUCUAAUACCGGAUAUGACCUCGGAAUGCAUGUUCUGGGGUGGAAGGAUUUAUCGGUGCGAGAUGGGCCCGCGGCCUAUCAGCCUGUUGGUGAGGUAACGGCUCACCAAGGCGACGACGGGUAGCCGACCUGAGAGGGUGACCGGCCACACUGGGACUGAGACACGGCCCAGACUCCUACGGGAGGCAGCAGUGGGGAAUAUUGCACAAUGGGCGCAAGCCUGAUGCAGCGACGCCGCGUGCGGGAUGACGGCCUUCGGGUUGUAAACCGCUUUUGACAGGGUCGAAGCGCAAGUGACUGUACCUGUAGAAUAAGGACCGGCCAACUACGUGCCAGCAGCCGCGGUAAUACGUAGGGUCCGAGCGUUGUCCGGAAUUACUGGGCAUAAAGAGCUUGUAGGCGGUUCGUCGCGUCGUUUGUGAAAACUUGGGGCUCAACCUUAAGCUUGCAGGCGAUACGGGCGGACUAGAGUACUUCAGGGGAGACUGGAAUUCCUGGUGUAGCGGUGAAAUGCGCAGAUAUCAGGAGGAACACCGGUGGCGAAGGCGGGUCUCUGGGAAGUAACUGACGCUGAGAAGCGAAAGCGUGGGUAGCAAACGGGAUUAGAUACCCUGGUAGUCCAUGCCGUAAACGGUGGGUACUAGGUGUAGGGGUCCUUCCACGGACUCCGUGCCGUAGCUAACGCAUUAAGUACCCCGCCUGGGGAGUACGGCCGCAAGGCUAAACUCAAAUGAAUUGACUGGG